AGUGAACGCUGGCGGUAGGCCUAACACAUGCAAGUCGAACGGCAGCACAGUAAGAGCUUGCUCUUACGGGUGGCGAGUGGCGGACGGGUGAGGAAUACAUCGGAAUCUACUUUUUCGUGGGGGAUAACGUAGGGAAACUUACGCUAAUACCGCAUACGACCUCCGGGUGAAAGCAGGGGAUCUUCGGACCUUGCGCGAUUGAAUGAGCCGAUGUCGGAUUAGCUAGUUGGCGGGGUAAAGGCCCACCAAGGCGACGAUCCGUAGCUGGUCUGAGAGGAUGAUCAGCCACACUGGAACUGAGACACGGUCCAGACUCCUACGGGAGGCAGCAGUGGGGAAUAUUGGACGAUGGGCGCAAGCCUGAUCCAGCCAUACCGCGUGGGUGAAGAAGGCCUUCGGGUUGUAAAGCCCUUUUGUUGGGAAAGAAAAGCAGCAGGUUAAUACCCCGCUGUUCUGACGGUACCCAAAGAAUAAGCACCGGCUAACUUCGUG
rnacentral:rRNA from 1 species